CUACGGGUUGCUCCAGUGGGGAAUAUUGCACAAUGGGCGCAAGCCUGAUGCAGCCAUGCCGCGUGUAUGAAGAAGGCCUUCGGGUUGUAAAGUACUUUCAGCGGGGAGGAAGGGAGUAAAGUUAAUACCUUUGCUCAUUGACGUUACCCGCAGAAGAAGCACCGGCUAAUCCGUGCCAGCAGCCGCGGUAAUACGGAGGGUGCAAGCGUUAAUCGGAAUUACUGGGCGUAAAGCGCACGCAGGCGGUUUGUUAAGUCAGAUGUGAAAUCCCCGGGCUCAACCUGGGAACUGCAUCUGAUACUGGCAAGCUUGAGUCUCGUAGAGGGGGGUAGAAUUCCAGGUGUAGCGGUGAAAUGCGUAGAGAUCUGGAGGAAUACCGGUGGCGAAGGCGGCCCCCUGGACGAAGACUGACGCUCAGGUGCGAAAGCGUGGGGAGCAAACGGGAUUAGAUACCCGUGUAGUC
rnacentral:rRNA from 1 species